UGGGGAAUAUUGGACAAUGGGCGCAAGCCUGAUCCAGCCAUGCCGCGUGUGUGAAGAAGGCCUUUUGGUUGUAAAGCACUUUAAGCGAGGAGGAGGCUACUUGGAUUAAUACUCUAGGAUAGUGGACGUUACUCGCAGAAUAAGCACCGGCUAACUCUGUGCCAGCAGCCGCGGUAAUACAGAGGGUGCGAGCGUUAAUCGGAUUUACUGGGCGUAAAGCGUGCGUAGGCGGCUUUUUAAGUCGGAUGUGAAAUCCCUGAGCUUAACUUAGGAAUUGCAUUCGAUACUGGGAAGCUAGAGUAUGGGAGAGGAUGGUAGAAUUACAGGUGUAGCGGUGAAAUGCGUAGAGAUCUGGAGGAAUACCGAUGGCGAAGGCAGCCAUCUGUCCUAAUACUGACGCUGAGGUACGAAAGCAUGGGGAGCGAACAGG
rnacentral:rRNA from 1 species